rnacentral:rRNA from 1 species
AGCAGCCGCGGUAAUUCCAGCUCCAAUAGCGUAUAUUAAAGUUGUUGCAGUUAAAAAGCUCGUAGUUGAAUUUCGGGACCAAUCUGCCGGUCGUGCCUCCGGUACGCACUGGUUUUAUUGGUCUCUCCCUUCUGACGAACCAUGAUGUCAUUAAUUUGGUGUCAUGGGGAAUCAGGACUGUUACUUUGAAAAAUUAGAGUGUUUAUAGCAGGCUCACGCUUGAAUACAUUAGCAUGGAAUAAUGAAAUAGGACGUUUGACCCUAUUUUGUUGGUUUCUAGGAUCGACGUAAUGAUUAAUAGGGAUAGUUGGGGGGCAUUAGUAUUCAAUUGUCAGAGGUGAAAUUCUUGGAUUUAUUGAAGACUAACUACUGCGAAAGCAUUUGCCAAGGAUGUUUUCAUUAAUCAAGAACGAAAGUUAGGGGAUCGAAGACGAUCAGAUACCGUCGUAGUCUUAACCAUAAACUAUGCCGACUAGGGAUCGGAUGAUGUUAAUUUUUUAAUGACUCAUUCGGCGCCUUA